rnacentral:misc_RNA from 1 species
UACGUAGGGUGCAAGCGUUAAUCGGAAUUACUGGGCGUAAAGCGUGCGCAGGCGGUUUUGUGAGUCUGACGUGAAAUCCCCGGGCCUAACCUGGGAAUGGCGUUGGAGACUGCAAGGCUGGAAUCUGGCAGAGGGGGGUAGAAUUCCACGUGUAGCAGUGAAAUGCGUAGAGAUGUGGAGGAACAACGCUGGCGAAGGCAGCCCCCUGGGCUAAGAUUGACGCUGAUGCACGAAAGCGUGGGGAGCAAACAGG